rnacentral:rRNA from 1 species
GACGUAGGGCGCGAGCGUUGUCCGGAUUUAUUGGGCGUAAAGAGCUCGUAGGCGGCUUGUCGCGUCGACUGUGAAAACCCGUGGCUCAACCAUGUGGUCUGCAGUCGAUACGGGCAGGCUAGAAUUCGGUAGGGGAGACUGGAAUUCCUGGUGUAGCGGUGAAAUGCGUAGAUAUCUGGAGGAACACCGGUGGCGAAGGCGGCAUCCUGGACCAACACUGACGCUGAGGCGCGAAAGCUAGGGGAGCAAACGGG